GGGCCUGUAGCUUAGUGGUAGAGCAUUUGACUGCAGAUCAAGAGGUCACCGAACCCGGUCGGGCCCU
rnacentral:tRNA from 1 species